rnacentral:rRNA from 1 species
ACGGAGGGUGCAAGCGUUAUCCGGAUUCACUGGGUUUAAAGGGUGCGUAGGAGGGCAGGUAAGUCAGUGGUGAAAUCUUCGAGCUUAACUCGGAAACUGCCGUUGAUACUAUCUGUCUUGAAUACCGUGGAGAUGAGCGGAAUAUGUCAUGUAGCGGUGAAAUGCUUAGAUAUGACAUAGAACACCCAUUGCGAAGGCAGCUUACUACACGAUCAUUGACGCUGAGGCACGAAAGCGUGGGGAGCAAACAGGA